CCGAGACGUCUGGUUUCUGAAGAAUGUGUUUUAGAGGCUGAUUGGUGAGCACAACAAUAGGAUGUGAUUGAAAAUAUUGUCGAAGUUUUCGUGCUGUUACUAUCAGUGCAAGGGUAAGUUGUUCUGCCAAAGUGUAUCUUGUUUCUGCAUCAAGUAGGACUUUGCUUACGUAAUAAAUGGGUUGCUGGCCCCUGUUAACCUCUUUCACCAAGACACCACUCACUGCAUUCUGAGAUACGGCUAAGUACAAAUACAGAGUUUCUCCGGGCUCAGGUUUGGUAAGGAUUGGGGGAGAUUCCAAUGUCUGCUUGAGCUCCUAAAAAGCUUUCUCACACUCCUCAUUCCAUUCAAAGCAAUGAUUACCCCUGAGGGCUUUGAAGAAGGGGAAGCACCUGUCUGCUGCUCGGGACAUGAACCUGUUUAAGGCGGCUACCCUGCCUGUCAACUUUUGAACCUCUUUCUUGGUCCUUGGUGAUUCCAUUGCUGCCAGAGCCUGAAUUUUGUUGGGGUUAGCCUCAAUGCCCCGAUGAGUGAUCAUGAAACCCAGAAACCUUCCUGAAGCUAUGCCAAAUACACACUUCUCUGGGUUGAGCUUCAUUUUAUAUUUUCGUAGGGUGGUGAACACCUCCUCAAGGUCGGAUAUAUG
rnacentral:lncRNA from 1 species